GGUAUGAUCCCAGACACUCACCUCUGGUCCAGAUGGGAGCUCUGGGCAGGAUCACUUUUAUCUUCUUAAAGAAAAGUGUGAGACAGUCACUGUCACCACAAUUCAGAUUUUUGACUUUGGACUAGAAAAUUUUUUUCUGCAGACACAGAUGGUCAGCAUGGCUCAGUUCAUUCACUUAUCCUUUUAACUAUCUUCUUUUUACCUUCCUUAGGAAGAAUUUCAUAAUGCCUGUGAUUAUUAUUGAGCAUUUCCACAAAUGUUUACAUCAUGUUCAAGAAAAGGUCUAAAUUUGAAGUUUCCUAUCUGAGGUCAUCCACCUGAUGAGUACUGCAAUGAUGAGUCUCUUUAUUGGAAGCACAUCAAUGCACUGCCCAAAGAGGUUGGAAGAGGGCAAAAUGUCUUCUGGAACUGGAGUUAGAGAGCACUGUGAACUACCUUUUGGAGAGUGGACUGCAACCUGGGUACUCUACAAGAGCAAUCAUACAGUGAAAUUUGUAUUAAUGCAUCUGAGUAGUAGGUCCCAGUAAUUCAUACUUUGAAUUACAACUUGCAGAAUAUUCCAAGGUCAGUAUUUGUUGCUCUGUAUAUUCAGCAGAGGUUACCAUUUCUAAUGGGAGCAGUGCAUUCAGUAACUACUUGAUAAAUUAACAUGUACACUUGGUGCACAUGCACUUUCCAGGUAUUUCUGGUUCCUACCUAUGUGGAAAGAUGCUGAUGUCUAUGUACCAUCAUUAAUACAAGGCUAAUAUUUUUACUUUAAAUAUUAUGUUAAUUUAGUUUUAUAUUCAUAUUUUUCUUUUAAGUUCUUUGAGACAGUUCUAUUCCUGGAAGUGUGUCCUAAGCUCAGCCCAAGGCAAGGGCUGCAAGCAUCAAGCAUGAAGAAUUUGCACAGAUUUAAUGGUAAAUAGUCAUAGAUCCCUUAAGGACCCAUCUGUUGGGAUAUCUGUAAGUAAGUUCUCUGAAAUCUUUUUAGAAAAUAAUUGUGAAGGUAACAUAAAGGGCUGUAGUUGUUAGGGCACAUCACUCACUAAUGUUAAAGCAAAGGGAUGAUGGCUGCAUUAGCCCAUUCUCUGAUGAUUUAGCCAAACUCCCGAUGGUGUGUACUAUACAAAGAAGGGAAAUGUUAAGCAAUAGAAGACAGAAGUUGCAUUUUUCUAAAGAGUACACACUUAGAAAAAAACUCUCUUGGAGCCAGAGAGAUCAGAAGUCAUUAUGUUUUGGGUACAUCAGUUUUUUUUUCUAGGCAAAUGUCUAAGCAGAAAUAAUACAUUUAUGUACCUUACAAUAUUAAGGGCUUUAAGAGGCAGUGGACAAAAACAGAACUGGAUCUUUCCUGCAAGCUUUGAGUGUCCUGGGAUGAUAUUAGAGAAGAUGGCUUGCUUAGUAUGGUGACUAUGUGCUGUCCCUGCAUCUCACUUCCAGCAUCAGCAAGGUUCUAGAGUGAUCAGGCAGAUGACCUGGGCAUCUCCAUCCACAUGAGUGUUU